UCACCGUUCAAUAGGUGAACCUCAGGUUGGUGCUGCUUCUUCCCCUUUUUCACUUGUCACUACAGUGUUGCUAAUAUCCAGAUAGUUUUGACGUAGUUUUCUUGUUAAAUGUAUUCUGUAUGUCGGUGUAGCUUGUCUGCGGGGCAAAAUAAAGCCACUAGAAUGUUCUGAAUGAGCUUGAGUUCAACUGUUGAUGGUUCGUAUUUUCCUGCUUCAUUCAUCUUUAUGGUUAAAAAAUUCUGAGAUCAGUUUUAAUAUUCAGGAAACUACACCUAGAUGAUUGUUGGUAUGACGAUGAUAUGUGUUGAGCUUAAAGAAAAAAGUGAGGAUUCAUAUAGCCGUCCUCAACUUGUUUGGUACUGAGGUGUAGUAGGAGUAGUAGUUGUUGUCUUGUACACCUAGAUUAUUGUGCAACAAUAAUCUGCGAUAACAACAACAACCCAGUAUAAUCCCACAAGUGGGGUCUGGGGAGGGUAAUAUAAGCAUCAUUUUAAUUGCACAUUUGGUGAUAGAACGAGUUUCUGGUACGCAUACCAGGUUAUUGACAUCAGAUUUCCAACCUUAUUAUUAGAUCACUUGAAACAUUGUUCCAUUUAGCAUUCUUUGACAUUACAUUCUCUUUGAUCUAGUGGUAUUUUUCCACAGUGUACUCUUGCCCUGGUAAUUUGUUUGUAUGCUUUUAGAUGUUACCAAGACCAUCUAAUCACUUUUACAGGUAAAGAACCAGACAGAAGGGAUUAGGCCAGAUCACUUUGAUGAUGAUAUAAUAGCUGAGUUGGAUUGCAUUUUAAGAGAGGAUUACUUGGAACUGAACGACCUUGUUGGUGUAGCAUCACAUUCGUCUAGUUCAGUGAAUUCAAGUUGCCAUAGCUUGGCAUCUGAUGAAUAUUUUGACUCUAUGGCAUUUUUACGGGAUCUCGAUGAUGAGAAGAACCAAUAUUUGCAUGGAAAAGGUUCAACUAGCAAUUAUCGUAUAAUGAUGUGCAGGAGAGCAAAUGAUGUGGUUAUGCCGCCUGCACCUUUAGGUAUGUAAACGUCUUUGCCCUUGCAUGUUCCUGUUGAUUAUGACUUUAGUACAUUUCUGUAUACCUUACUUGUAUUUUAACUUUUAGACCUUUAGGAAGACAACAUCGCCUGUGCUUCAACUUGUCUGCUAAGUAAAAGUUGUAUCAAUGGCUGUGCAUGGUAGUCGAAAACACUGGUCCUCUUUUAAUAUUUUUCUAAUUCUCAAGAACUAUUUCGAAAAAAUAAAUUGCUACCCCAAGAUAUCCAGGCAAUAAUACUGCAGGGAGCUUGAGCUCGUGCAUCAUGCAUCCUGAUGCUUCAUAUUUAUUAUGAGUUAAUUGCUCGGUUAUUAGCUCGUCUUAAUCUAUAGUACUCAAAAAAAUUCACUCCUCCAAGUAUCAUAUGAAGAAUUAGUAUCAACCGUUAUUUUAGUUGAUUGUCAUGAAGAAUUUGUUCACUCAUCAUUUCACAUACUUAUUCAACAACAACAAAACAGGGUGUAAUCCCACAAGUGGGGUCACGGGAGGGUAGUGUGUAUGCAGACCUUACCCUUGCCUUCUCUUGAAGGAAGAGAGGCUGUUUCCGGUAGAUUUCACUCAUCAUUUCGAAGGAAAAAAACAGAAAGUGAUUUAACAUUAGUGAGAAACACAUGAAUGUGUAGAGCACGACUUAUUCUUUAAUUCAAUCCUUUACCAUGCCAACAUAUAGUUUUGGCCUUGGAAUUGCACAACAGAAAAUGGAUUUGAAAAUAGUGGACGAUUAUUACAAAUUUAUAUACAAAUAACGUCUUACAAAUCUUGACGCCUCAGAUAAAGAAGCUACAUCAAGGUACAUGUUCAGAAAGUCAAAUCCUGAUCUUUAUAUCAACAUGGGAUUGGACUGGACUUAUUAACCAUCUCAAAUAAGAUGACAUCUAUGAAAAUAAUGCAUUAGGAUGCAUGUAACUAUUUGCAAUGUCCGUUGUGCUUGAGCUUGACAUCACAUCUUUCUUGUGAUCACUAACUGAAUGUACCGCCCUUUUAUUUGUAAUAAACAUAUUGACGUCUGCUUACUCUUGAAACCUACUGGCAGAAUCUUAUAUUAGUGGGAGCGCGGCUGCAGCCAAAGACACUCAACCAGGUUCUUCUAACAAAGCCAAAUUUCCCAGCAAGUCAUCCCCAGAACAGGAUAUUAAGAGGCUGAAGGCAGAGUGUACAAAUGAUGAAGGUCCAUCACACUCUUAUAGAGCAACAGCAUAUUUCAGCAGCAGCAGCAGCAGCAGCAGCCAUGAACCUGUAACAACAAGAGAAGAGAAAAGAAAGAAGAAGCUCAAGAAGUUCCUCUGUUUCAUGCCUUUCUAGUAAAGAAAGAAGCAGCAGCCUAGCUUCAUUCAUCUUUAUGGUUAAAAAAUUCUGAGAUCAGUUUUAAUAUUCAGGAAACUACACCUAGAUGAUUGUUGGUAUGACGAUGAUAUGUGUUGAGCUUAAAGAAAAAAGUGAGGAUUCAUAUAGCCGUCCUCAACUUGUUUGGUACUAGGAAAAGGGGAACUUGGGGGUCUGGGGGUUGGAGAGACAGUUUAAGCUAUUGAAUAUUGAUGUUUUGUGCAGUUAGCUAAAUUUUAAACUUGAUGUUGAGAAGAUUUAGAAUAGGAAUUUGAUUCUGCAGAGAGUCUAGAACUGAUGUUCUCUAUAGUACAGUUGUAAUAUUAAGAGAGAAAAAAUGUAUUUUGGUAAUUCUUCAAAUGAUUACUGGAUCAUUCGUUGAUAACAAAACUUUAUUAUGACAGGCUAUUUUGGUUGGCUCUCAUUUCUUAGAAAAUAAAUAAGUGCAAUGAAAAAGAAAAAAAGACAAAAAAGAUAUCAAGUAACCAAAAGUUUCAGACAAACUACAUUUGGAGAUUAGAGUUGCAGUCACUGACUUGUAACUUCACUUUGGUACUGGAUUCAAGUUUUGUGUAAAGAUCGCUUGAUUGAAUCCACAGUGAAUGGUUUAUUCACC
rnacentral:lncRNA from 1 species